GGGCCCUUAGCUCAGCUGGAAGAGCGCCUCAAUGGCAUUGAGGAGGUCAGCAGUUCGAUCCUGCUAGGGUCCACCA
rnacentral:tRNA from 1 species